rnacentral:tRNA from 1 species
AAACAGUUAGCUUAGUUGGUAGUGCGUCUGCCUUGUAAGCGCUAGGCCGCGGGUUCGAUUCCCGCCCGGCUUU